rnacentral:rRNA from 1 species
GAUGAACGCUGGCGGCGUGCUUAACACAUGCAAGUCGAACGAGAAGUGGAGACGGAAACCUUCGGGCGGAAGACUUUAUUUCGAGUGGCGGACGGGUGAGUAACGCGUGGGUAACCUGCCUCAUACAGGGGGAUAACAGUUGGAAACGACUGUUAAUACCGCAUAAGACCACAGCACCGCAUGGUGCGGGGGUAAAAACUCCGGUGGUAUGAGAUGGACCCGCGUUCGAUUAGCCAGUUGGCGGGGUAACGGCCCACCAAAGCGACGAUCGAUAGCCGAUCUGAGAGGAUGACCGGCCACAUUGGGAAUGAGACACGGCCCAAACUCCUACGGGAGGCAGCAGUGGGGAAUAUUGCACAAUGGGGGAAACCCUGAUGCAGCGACGCCGCGUGAGUGAAGAAGUAUUUCGGUAUGUAAAGCUCUAUAAGCAGGGAAGAAAAUGACGGUACCUGAGUAAGAAGCCCCGGCUAACUACGUG